rnacentral:rRNA from 1 species
GCAUCGAUGAAGAACGCAGCGAAAUGCGAUAAGUAAUGUGAAUUGCAGAAUUCCGUGAAUCAUCGAAUCUUUGAACGCACAUUGCGCCCCUCGGUAUUCCGUGGGGCAUGCCUGUUCGAGCGUCAUUUACACCCUCAAGCCUCGCUUGGUGUUGGGCGUCUGUCCCGCUCUCGUAGCGCGGACUCGCCUCAAAGUCAUUGGCGGCGGUCGUGCCGGCCCCUCGCGCAGCACAUUUGCGCUUCUCGGAGGCCUGGCGGAUCAGCAUCCAGCAAGCUAUUUCAUGACUUGACCUCGGAUCAGGUAGGGAUACCCGCUGAACUUAAGCAUAUCAAUAAGCGGAGGA